rnacentral:rRNA from 1 species
AGGGAAUCUUCGGCAAUGGACGGAAGUCUGACCGAGCAACGCCGCGUGAGUGAAGAAGGUUUUCGGAUCGUAAAGCUCUGUUGUAAGAGAAGAACGAGUGUGAGAGUGGAAAGUUCACACUGUGACGGUAUCUUACCAGAAAGGGACGGCUAACUACGUGCCAGCAGCCGCGGUAAUACGUAGGUCCCGAGCGUUAUCCGGAUUUAUUGGGCGUAAAGCGAGCGCAGGCGGUUAGAUAAGUCUGAAGUUAAAGGCUGUGGCUUAACCAUAGUACGCUUUGGAAACUGUUUAACUUGAGUGCAAGAGGGGAGAGUGGAAUUCCAUGUGUAGCGGUGAAAUGCGUAGAUAUAUGGAGGAACACCGGUGGCGAAAGCGGCUCUCUGGCUUGCAACUGACGCUGAGGCUCGAAAGCGUGGGGAGCAAACAGGAUUAGAUACCCUGGUAGUCCACGCCGUAAACGAUGAGUGCUAGGUGUUGGGUCCUUUCCGGGACUCAGUGCCGCAGCUAACGCAUUAAGCACUCCGCCUGGGGAGUACGACCGCAAGGUUG